GACGAACGCUGGCGGCGUGCCUAAUACAUGCAAGUAGAACGCAGUUGCGAACGGGUGAGUAACGCGUAGGUAACUGCCUGGUAGCGGGGGAUAAAUAUUGGAAACGAUAGCUAAUACCGCAUACUACCAGAUGGACCUGCGUUGUAUUAGCUAGUUGGUGAGGUAACGGCUCACCAAGGCAAAGAUACAUAGCCGACCCGCUGGGGUGAACGGCCCAACUGGGAAUGAGACCCCGCCCCGACUCCUAACGGAGGCAGCAGUAGGGAAUUUUCGGAAAUGGGGGGAACCCUGACCGCGCAACGCCGCGGGAGUGAAGAAGGUCUUCGGAUCGGAAAGCUCUGUUGUGAAGGAAGCGGUACUUAACCAGAAAGGGACGGCUAACUCCGUGCCAGCAGCCGCGGUAAUUC
rnacentral:rRNA from 1 species